rnacentral:rRNA from 1 species
CGGGUGCGUAACACGUAUGUAACCUACCUUUGUCAGGGGGAUAGCCUCUCGAAAGAGAGAUUAAGACCGCAUAACAUUACAAUGUGGCAUCACAAAGUAAUCAAAUAUUUAUAGGACAAAGAUGGGCAUGCGGAACAUUAGCUAGUUGGUAAGGUAAUGGCUUACCAAGGCUACGAUGUUUAGGGGAUCUGAGAGGAUGGCCCCCCACACUGGUACUGAGACACGGACCAG